GACGAACGCUGGCGGCGUGCUUAACACAUGCAAGUCGAACGGAAAGGCCCUGCUUUUGUGGGGUGCUCGAGUGGCGAACGGGUGAGUAACACGUGAGUAACCUGCCCUUGACUUUGGGAUAACUUCAGGAAACUGGGGCUAAUACCGGAUAGGAGCUCCUGCAGCAUGGUGGGGGCUGGAUAGUUUCGGCGGUUGGGGUUGGACUCGCGGCUUAUCAGCUUGUUGGUGGGGUAGUGGCUUACCAAGGCUUUGACGGGUAGCCGGCCUGGGAGGGUGACCGGCCACAUUGGGACUGAGCUACGGCCCAGCCUCCUACGGGAGGCAGCAGUGGGGAAUAUUGCACAAUGGGCGGAAGCCUGAUGCAGCAACGCCGCGUGCGGGAUGACGGCCUUCGGGUUGUAAACCGCUUUCGCCUGUGACGAAGCGUGAGUGACGGUAAUGGGUAAAGAAGCACCGGCUAACUACGUG
rnacentral:rRNA from 1 species